rnacentral:rRNA from 1 species
AUGGCUCCUACCGAGGCUGAGGCUGAUGUAGAGGAGGGAGAAGAGAAUAAGAAGAGGGAAAGGAAAGCAGCCGGAGCUGCUUUCACGUGGAUUCAAAAUAACUUUGCGACGUGCCCUCCGGAUGCCACUGAUGAUGUGAUCCAGACACAUGCUCGUGUCUACAUGUGGUACGUUGUGUCGAGGACUUCGUUUCCUGACUCCACUGGCAAGAACGCUCCAUGGAUGUGGCUGAAGGCAUUGACCAUCUUCGAUAGCAAAUGGAGCUGGGGUUCAUCGACUCUUGCCUACUUGUACCGACAGGUAGUUGGUCUGUUUUGUGAUCAACUCAUUUCUUCAUUAGCAAUGCAAGCUUGCUGUCAAGUUAACAUUGUUUUUCUUUCAUAUGCAGCUAGACGAUGCGUGUUGCAGGAUCACAUAUAG